CGCAGACUUUCUGUGAGUAUUGCACAGUCGUUCAUAGCAUCGCAUCGACUUAAAGCUGAAACUGAAAAUAUUAGACACCUUAGUCUUCAUAUAAACGAGGCAUCCCCAACUUUUCUCCCAUAAUGCUCUCCCUAAACAAAACCCCAACAUGCGCAAAGCAACUACCAGGCUUAAAGAACAUAUAUAGGCUAGUGGUGCACGUCUGCCACGGAGUCCAUUGGCAAAUGAGUUUUUCACGAUGCCUGGCGACUGCAAGGAGUGGUUUCGCUCUGGGAAACCGGGGCUGUGGUCACUUGCAGCGCGGACACUGUCCGUCUUUCACCUAUUUAGCCCGAGCCAUUUUCAUUAACGCGAGGCUGUCUGCGAGCACAACAGGGACGGUUGUAAUCAGCAGCCAUAGACUGUGAAGUGGGAGAACCUAACGUGACGUCAAUGCCUAGUAACUGACGCAGCCCUCAAAAAAGAGAGAUUCUGCAAGCGUUAAUUAUCAUCGUUUGUGUACUGCUCUAAAGACAAAACAUAUUCCUCUCGCAGUGCAACUGAUUAGUGUUGUUUGCGCGCGCGGGUCCGUCUGUGUGAGUGUGCAUGCGUGCGUGCGUGCGUGUGUUUUCUUUAUGAGCAGCGAAUCCGUCCCGAGUUUCCAAGCGAAAGUUGCAUGGAGACACGCAGCGUAAGACGCGUAUAAUAAAGAGGAUGGUGAGCAACAUAAAGGAACGAGGAGAGCGGGAACAACUUGUGCUGAGAAAGCGAACGUUUAAGAAAUAUUUAGCCCAUAAGAGAGAGGGGCACUGAAGCAGUUCGUUUGGAGAAAAAAAAACACUGCAGCGAUGCAUCGGAGGCGAGUCGGAGCCCUUGCAUGGAGUUGGAGAGGCAAAAUUAAUGUACAUUACAUGCACUCCACGUAACGCUCCUGAGCGAUGUCUUUGUGAGUGUUUUUUUUUUUCUUACUGCGCGCUAAAAAUAGCAUCAGUGUUUGAUCGUGGUCCAGAAAUAGGCAGAGGGUAUCACUUGUAUAAAAAGGGACUGCGAUUCUGAGAAAACUUGGACGUGUUGCUGAGGAUAGAUAUGAAUCAAGGGCAGUAUUUGAUUUUCGUCUUGCUUGUUGUUUUUGGUCACGUAUGAUGGUUUUAUACUCAUGUCUGUGUUUUCCCUGCUUUCAGCCAGGGCUUCCUGCACUGGGCAGGGCAAAACUUGAGGCAUCCAUCGUGUCAAGUAGCCUACAGAGGGAGAAAUGAAGGCUCGAAAUCGAAUCACAAAACGUUCCCAAACAGGGUCUUCAAAAUCUGCUGAUGACUGGACGUCUAUGCAAAAGUGAGAUGUGAAGCCGAACUGACUGUGUUUCUCCUGGAAGGAGAGGAACGGCUGACAGCAAUGGAAGAUGUCGGAGGGAAAAGAAGGGGUUUACCAAUAAACAAGCGUGGCAAAGGCCUCAGUCGUGAGAAUACCUAUGGUUAAUCAUCUGAUCCACAACAUUCACAUGUCAGAGGGAAAAAUGAAAAGGAUGAAAAUCUGGGAAACCUUUACCUUGUAUCCUGCACACAAGAUCAAUGUCAAACCAAGCAACGUCUGUUAUACUGCUUUACACCUGUAAAUGGAUAUUCAGCAAGUUGAUUACUUUUUAGGAACAACAUAACACCGUCAGGUAUUUGCAAUAUUCGUCUGUAAACUACUUUGGGUUUAAUAAAUGAGCUUAAUUUGCUUACGUUGUCACGUGCAGACGUCUGUAACGUCUGAGACGUAUGAGCUGUGACACGUAAGGGAAUAUGAAAGUGAUGUAGUACGUAUUUAAGCUUAACAUGCACAUAAAACCAUGUAUAGAUACAUUUGUAGUAAUUAUUCACCUGAAUGAGAGAAGCUGUGUAGAGACGAGAUGCACGUGAGCGCUUGUGUUGAGUUGUGUUGUUUUAACUCUCAAAGAUGUGAGGGCAAACGCAGUCUGAUUUAAUCGCAUUUGUUCUAAUUAAAUAAUAGCCUAUAUGUAGCUUGAAAUGGAUUUGUUGUGACUGUGAUAAUAAGAACGUGUGCGUCGCGAACGUAGGGAACGUCUGCGUCUUUCGACGUGUGUGUAAAUUACAGACGCGAGUAUUUUUUUUAGCUUGUAGUGCUUAUUAUAAUUGUGAGGGUUACAUAUGUGUAAGAUCCUAAUAGUUUGUUUAAAAUGUUAUAUGCAGCUGUGGACAGCUGAACGGAGAGUUUUAGCUGCCAGGCGCUCGCUGUCCACUGCAUGUGCUGCUGCUGACUUGUCACUCACACGGCCCAGCCGAGCUUAGAGCUGAAGAUUAUGCUGUUUUUAUACGUUCUUUAGCUAGAUAUGUUUAUUAUAUUGUAUAUAUGUAAUAAGGUUUCAUAACUAGUGUUUAGGGAGCAUUUUGAGCACGGUAAAUAUGAAAUAUGAGUUGUUGGAAUUUACCAAAGGGUCAAAGGGGGCUGGGUAGUGCAGAAAGGGGCAGAGAUAAAUAUGUUUAAAUUAAAGAAUAAAGAUUAUAGGCGUCGAUUUAUUCUUAAGAUGUCUGUGGUAGAUCAGUGAGAGUCGAGGACUGAAAGCUAGAAUGUAUAAUGUGUUACGUGAGAGGAAACGUGUGUGUGUGUGUGUGUGUGUGUGUGAGAGAGAGAGAGAGAGAGAGAGAGUGUGUGUGUGUCUGAUGUCAAAAAAUUAUGUGUUCUAAGUAAAAUAUCUACAAUUCGCAUCAGUUAUUAAAGUGUUAUUUUGUAGUAUAAUAAUACAAAAAAUAACACUGUUGGAUUAUUUGUGCAUUACGUGUCUUUUCUUUUUAUUGCUUUAUAAGUAUAAUAUUUUUAUGCUUUGCUGUUAUUGUUUAUCAUAUAACUAUAAAUGUGCUUAACAGUUUGAGCUGAAUUGAGUAAAGUGUGAUUGCUGCAGUGUGCACGAUGUAAGAACAGAUGUGUGAGUCCUGCACUUGAAUGUCGUUUCUGUAUAGUGCACUGAGAAAAACAUGCUGCAUUAACUAUUCGACCCUGAGUAAUUGUUUAGCUAUUUUAUUACACGACACAAGCUGUGCAUGUGGUGCGAGUAAUGUAUGGUGUGAUUAUGUUGCAAAAUCUAAAAGCAAGUUUGUCGUUCACGUGACAAAGUUAUGAAUCACGUAUUCUGUGAUCAAACUGCUUGCUUUCUGUAUUCCCUAUCCCAUGUCAGAGAAAAUAAAAUGUUUGGAGUUAUUA